rnacentral:rRNA from 1 species
UACGAGGGGGGGCGAGCGUUUGUUCGGAAUUAUUGGGCGUAAAGGGUGCGUAGGCGGUUUGGUAAGUCUUAUGUGAAAUCUACAGGCUCAACUUGUAGUCUGCAUGAGAAACUGCCGGGCUUGAGUAUGGGAGAGGUGAGUGGAAUUCCUGGUGUAGCGGUGAAAUGCGUAGAUAUCAGGAGGAACACCUGUGGCGAAAGCGGCUCACUGGACCAUAACUGACGCUGAUGCACGAAAGCUAGGGGAGCAAACAGG